GUUACAACUGACACACUACUAUUUGCUUGUAAGAGGGAAGAACAAAUGAAAAAGGAAAUGGAGAGACAGGAUCGUGAAAGAAGAAAGGAAGAACAAAGGCUGAUGCGAGAACAGCAGAGGAAGGAGGAGCGAUUUCAGCGCGAGGAAAAGCGUGAAAUGGAGAGGAGGGAGAGGUUUUUGCAGAAAGAGCUCUUGAGGGUUGGU
rnacentral:lncRNA from 1 species